rnacentral:rRNA from 1 species
UGGGGAAUAUUGGACAAUGGGCGAAAGCCUGAUCCAGCCAUGCCGCGUGUGUGAAGAAGGUCUUCGGAUUGUAAAGCACUUUAAGUUGGGAGGAAGGGUUGUAGAUUAAUACUCUGCAAUUUUGACGUUACCGACAGAAUAAGCACCGGCUAACUCUGUGCCAGCAGCCGCGGUAAUACAGAGGGUGCAAGCGUUAAUCGGAAUUACUGGGCGUAAAGCGCGCGUAGGUGGUUAGUUAAGUUGGAUGUGAAAUCCCCGGGCUCAACCUGGGAACUGCAUUCAAAACUGACUGACUAGAGUAUGGUAGAGGGUGGUGGAAUUUCCUGUGUAGCGGUGAAAUGCGUAGAUAUAGGAAGGAACACCAGUGGCGAAGGCGACCACCUGGACUGGUACUGACACUGAGGUGCGAAAGCGUGGGGAGCAAACAGGAUUAGAUACCCUGGUAGUCCCUGAGCGGGCUGGCAAGGCGCAU